rnacentral:rRNA from 1 species
AACGAACGCUGGCGGCAUGCCUAACACAUGCAAGUCGAACGAGACCUUCGGGUCUAGUGGCGCACGGGUGCGUAACGCGUGGGAACCUGCCCUUAGGUUCGGAAUAACUCCCCGAAAGGGGUGCUAAUACCGGAUAAUGUCUUCGGACCAAAGAUUUAUCGCCUUUGGAUGGGCCCGCGUUGGAUUAGCUAGUUGGUAGGGUAAAAGCCUGCCAAGGCGACGAUCCAUAGCUGGUCUGAGAGGAUGAUCAGCCACACUGGGACUGAGACACGGCCCAGACUCCUACGGGAGGCAGCAGUGGGGAAUAUUGGACAAUGGGCGAAAGCCUGAUCCAGCCAUGCCGCGUGAGUGAUGAAGGCCUUAGGGUUGUAAAGCUCUUUUACCCGGGAUGAGAAUGACAGUACCGGGAGAAUAAGCUCCGGCUAACUCCGUG